CAGGUGAUGAUCCUGAAAUGGUCUG
rnacentral:misc_RNA from 1 species